AUGGUGAAGGUCAGAGUAAAUGGCCAUUUUGGGCACCUGGUCACCAGGGCUGCUUUUAACUCCAGCAAAGUGGAUAUUGUUGCCGUCAAUGACCCCUUCGUUGACCUCAGCUACAUGCUUUCCAUAUUCCAGUAUGAGUCCACCCAUGGCAAGUUCAAUGGCACAGUCAAGACUGAGAGCGGGAAGCUUGUCAUCAAUGGAAAGCCCAUCUCCAUUUUCUAGGAGCAAGAUCCCACCAACAUCAAAUGGAGUGACGCUGGUGCUGAAUAUGUUGUGGAACCCACUGGUGUCUUCACUACCUUGUAGAAGGCUGGGGCUCACUUGAAGGGUGGAGUGAAAAGGCUCAUCAUCUUUGCCCUUUCUCUGAUGCUCCCAUGUUUGUGAUGGACAUGAACCAUGAGAAGUAUGAUAACUUCCUCAAGAUUGUCAGCAAUGCCUCCUGCACCACCAACUGCUUAGACCCUUGGCCAAGGUCAUCCAUAACAACUUUGGCAUUGUGGAGGGACCCAUGACCGUAGUCCAUGCCAUCACUGCUACCCAGAAGACUGUGGAUGGUCCCUCUGAGAAGCUGUGGCAUGAUGGCCAAGGGGCUGCCCAGGACAUCAUCCUUGCUUCUAUUGGUGCUGCCAAGGCUGUGUGGACAAGGUCAUCCCUGAGCUGAAUGGGAAGCUCACUGGCAUGGCGUUCCAUGUCCCCACCCCCAAUGUGUCAGUCAUGGAUCUGACCUGCCACCGGGAGAAAACUGCCAAAUAUGAUGACAUCAAGAAGGUGGUGAGGCAGGCACUGGAGGGCCACCUAAAGGGUUUCCUGGGCUAUACUGAGGACUAGGUUGUAUCCUGCAUCUUUAACAGUGACGCCUCUCUUCCACCCUCAAUGCUGGGGCUGGCAUUGCCCUCAAUGACCACUUUGUCAAGCUCAUUUCCUGGGAUGACAAUGAAUUUGUCUACAGCCACAGGGUGGUGGACCUUAUGGUCCACAUGGCCUCUAAGGAGUAAGAGCCACUGGGCCACCAGCCCCAAUGAAAGAACAAGAGGAAGAGAGAGGCCCUCAGCUGCAGAGGA